rnacentral:rRNA from 1 species
CCUACGGGUGGCAGCAGUAGGGAAUAUUGCUCAAUGGGGGAAACCCUGAUGCAGCAACGCCGCGUGGAGGAUGAAGGUUUUCGGUUUGUAAACUCCUUUUGUUAGGGAAGAUAAUGACGGUAUCUAACGAAUAAGCACCGGCUAACUCCGUGCCAGCAGCCGCGGUAAUACGGAGGGGGCAAGCGUUACUCGGAUUCACUGGGCGUAAAGGGCGCGUAGGUGGGGUGGUAAGUCAGAGGUGAAAUCCUAUGGCUUAACCAUAGGAUUGCAUUUGAAACUGGUAUUCUAGAGUGCGGGAGGGGUAGGUGGAAUGCUUGGUGUAGCGGUGAAAUGCGUAGAUAUCAAGAGGAACACUCAUUGCGAAGGCGACUUGCUAGAACAUAACUGACGCUGAGGCGCGAAAGCGUGGGGAGCAAACAGGAUUAGAUACCCCAGUAGUC